rnacentral:misc_RNA from 1 species
CAUCGCGCCUUGCUCCCUCCUGCGCACACACGUCGGCCCUGUUUCCAAGGACGCCAGGCAACGUGAUGCCCUCCCCUACCUCUCAAGUAAGAGAGAGAGAGAGCCGUUCCGACUCCUCGACCGCUGCGCCCACCCCAGCUUCCCUUCUGAGCGGUUCCGCUGUCUUAUUUCGUCACAUCAGCACAGUACUGUUUACGAGGGGACACACACUCCUCAGUGGACGAUAUCCUCAGGGCCCAGUGGUGCCCGGACUCUGCGGGGGAAGAGAACUCAGGCAGCCUCCCCCGCCCCUAUGUAUCCCCUGCCGAUCCCAAGCCACGUCUGGUGUUGACAGGGUCCAAGUGCCGGCGGCGUAGGGAGGCCGGAGCGAUGUAUUGCUGCUGAUGUCGGCGGCCAGGUGAUGGACAGUGUUCUGCUGGAGCGAGCGGCGACCGUGCACACGCUUGUGCCAUCCACAUGAUGGGCAGAGUGUCAGCCUGGCUCGAGCGCAACCUAUCACCCGGAUCCCCUCGCACUGGCCUACUGAUGUCUGUGUGUGUGUGUGUGUGUGUGGGAGGGCGGGAGGCCUGAGGCGCGUGGGGUGGGUGGAGUUUAAUGCCGGGGCCGUGCUCGCAGGGUACCUCGUCAACGAGUGCACUGCGCUAGCUGUACAUACGUUUUAGCGUUGUUGUCUGUGACGGCAUGUGCGACCCGCCUUCCCUCUGUGGUGCGCUUUCGGGGUUUUUGUGGUGGCCAGUGCCAGCGCGAGGCACUCUCAUGCCCGCGAGUUCUCGCUUCUGCGCCGCUGCGGAGGACUUGGCCUUUGCGGACCGAUUUGACCACCACGGCACGGCACGGUUUACAGGUUGUUUUGUGGGACGGGUCAUGACCAAGCGGCGGGCAUCGCUGGCGGCGCCGGGUCAUAUGCCUGUGCUGAGUGGCCAGCGAACGGGACUGCGCAGUGGCCGCGUGAUGCCGUGUUGACGUCUUCGUGGCGGCGUCGGCGGUGUGCCGUGCCGUGGUGUCGCUAUGGCUUGCACACGCCAGGUGUUCGUCAGUGGGUCAAUCGUGUGGUGUGGUCCUCUCCCUGGCCGGCCGGGUCGUCAUCUCGUGUCGGACACCCGGCGGCGCGAGCCGGCCCUCGCCCCGAUGGCGUGUGGGCUGCGUGCGACGCUGCCUGGUGUGUGAUGGAGAGCCUCCCGUGCCGCGAGGUGACUGUUAGGUGUGCAGCCCGACGUGGUGUGUAUGAGCCCAGCUGGGACGUGGCAGCACAGCCGCAACGCCGCUGCUGCGCCUUUGCCGUUGAGAAGAGGGGGAGGGCUUACAGCUGUGCCCGUGUCGUGCUGUGUGAGCACAGAGACGCCACCGCCUCGUGCUUUUUUUCUCUUGCUGCAGCGGAGUGUGGAAAGCCUGAGACAUUCAGUGCCUUGCAGAACGCAGACUUGCAGCCAAGAUUCGUCGCGGAACCGGGCCAGCCAACACCGUUUGACGCCACUCACUCCGCUGCAACGCCACUGCAUACAGCGCAGGCCAGGACCAGGAUGCCGCUCGACGUCACCGAAACGCCGC